AAAAAAAAAAAAAGAGCCUUUUUAUUUAUGAAAAAUAAAAUAAAAAAUCAUAUCCAUAUCAAUCUUAAAGAAAUUAAAUUAUUCUGGUUUUUAAUGUCCUAAUUAAUAUUUUUUAUAUUUUUCAUAUUACAAAGCUUUUAAAAUGAUUAAUUUUAACUUUUACAAUUAAUUUGGAUAAAGAUUCUUCCAAUUCCAUGUCAAUAUGAGUUUGAAAUUGAAUCAAAGUAAGUAUUGGGCUUCUGAUUAGGAUAUUAUGAGAUUAACAAGGCCCAAGACAAAGAUUGGCCUUUUUAUAGGGAUUAGAUUUGGCCCAUUUUAAAUCUUUAGAAAAUAAGCCUUGGGAAAUAUCAUAAUAUCUGUAUAGCAACGUGGACUUAAUUUAAUUCAAUUUUAUAAAAAAAAUUAAUUAGAAUAUAUUU
rnacentral:misc_RNA from 1 species